UUUAAAAUAAUAAUUUUUCAAAUUAUUUCAAUUUUCUUUUACAUUACUAUUAAACUAUAAUUAAAUUUAUUUUUUCUUUAAACAAUACUAAAACUUUUUAUUAUAAAAUUAUUUUUAAUAUUUUACAAAAAAAAUUAAUAAAAUUAAUAAAUAAAAUCUAA
rnacentral:rRNA from 1 species